rnacentral:rRNA from 1 species
UACGAAGGGGGCUAGCGUUGCUCGGAAUGACUGGGCGUAAAGCGCACGUAGGCGGACUUUUAAGUCAGGGGUGAAAUCCCGGGGCUCAACCCCGGAACUGCCUUUGAUACUGGAAGUCUUGAGUUCGAGAGAGGUGAGUGGAAUUGCGAGUGUAGAGGUGAAAUUCGUAGAUAUUCGCAGGAACACCAGUGGCGAAGGCGGCUCACUGGCUCGAUACUGACGCUGAGGUGCGAAAGCGUGGGGAGCAAACGGG